AGUUGGCUAAAGAGGCAGUAAAUGAAGGAGGAAGCUCUGAUAACAAUAUUGAAGAAUUUGUUGCACGACUUGUUUGCAGUUAAUGUUGAUUAACAACAAUAAAAUCUCUCUAUUUCCAUUUCAUUUUAAUUUCAUAGCCUUUUAUAAUUGAGCUCCAAUCAAGUUAAAAUAAUCUUGUAGGACCAGAAAGAGAAUGGAUUUGCCUGCACCGGUUCCUUGUUAAAAUGUACUGAAGUCUAACUUAAAAUCCUCUUAAAUUUACAUCCAACUUUUAGUUAAUUUUAUUAAUAUGUUUAAUUGAAUGGAAGUUAGCAUGCUUUUGGCUAGGUUUUCUAUGACCCAAUUCCAUAGUUCUAUUGGAGUACAGUACUCUCCAAUAUGAUCCGGAUAGGGUAAAUACAUAUGUUUGAAAGAAUGAAAUAUCUUCAUUAAAGAAGGAUAAAUAAAUAAAAACAUGUAUGACUAGCAUCACACAUACCCAGGUGCUUAUAACAAUCAAAUUUCCUUUUUUUUUCCAAAAACAAAAUUAUGAGCAAAUCAAUAUUUAAUCAUAGGACUUUUCCAAAUUCUUCAAAAGAUACGAAGGAAACGAAGUUAAUUUAGAAAAAAAUUGAUAACUUAAAAAUAUCCUUAAAAUCAAAGGAAACGCACAAGCCGAAUGGAUUUGAACCCAAUAUGCGCAAUCCAAAUAUAUGAAACACCUAAACCACUAAUUGACCUAACAUCCUUUUUACAUACAAAGAACGAGAAAAUUCAAGUUAAUUAUGCUAAUCAAGCUUACAUAUGUUGCCGGUUGAUCCAUUACCUUAUAAUUUAAGCUUUUGGAUCAAUUAAUUACCGGCUUAACAUAUUAAUCUUUACUCUUUGUAAAUCUUGCGUUUUUCCAUGAAAUCUUGUCAUUCAGAACAAGUCUUUUUUGGUCAUAGCUAGCUAGCUACAAUGUUGUUUGAGUUGUUGAUUGAGGAAAGUGGACAAAAAUCAUAGAUGGUACUGAAGGAUAGAGUUAAUGAAAUCAUAUGAGUAACUCUUUUUAAAUAAGGGAAUGAAAAAAACAAGUAUAUUGAACAACUUCACAGUACAAUAUAUAAUACAUAUAAGGAAAAGGACCCUUCACCAACUUUUCUUCUUUGAAAGGGCUUUUUGAUCCACCAGUCAAACACCAAGUGAAAUGGUAGUUGUUUCACACUUGCAUAAUGAUUUUCUAGAUUUUUUUCAAAGAAGGAUUAAAAUGUUAAGGACCCUAUAAUAUUUUAAGCAAGGGAUUCAUUUGUAUAUUUAGCUAUGUUUCAAAUGGAAAAGUAUGUUUCAACUUCCUCCAACAUUGAUUGGUACUAUCUAUAUACUUUAUAGGUACCUACAAAAUGAGCUGACACUGCUGGUUCUGAAGAGAUAAAAGCCAGAAGAUAGAAAAAUGUGUCAGAUGGUCACUUGCUUGGCCUUUGAUUGUUGUAGAAUUAGGCCUUUCACCGUCUGCAAGUAGUCUAUAAAUACUACCUUCUGCAGAUGGCCUGAUUAAAGAAGAAAAGAGUCUAGUGGGGAGAAUGAAGAGUGGUGCGAGAGUUGGUGAAACUCAUAUUAUGGUCCUUCCUUACUGUUCACAGGGUCACAUAAAUCCAAUGCUCCAAUUCUCCAGGCGCCUAGCCUCCAAAGGUCUCAAGGUCACAUUAGUGAUCCCAAGAGCCUCCAUUUAGAAUGCCCAAGCUAGCUCCAUUAACAUCGAGAUCAUUUGUGAAGGGCUCGAGGAGCGCAAAGAAGAAGAAAGUAUAGAGGACUAUGUGGAGCGUUUUAGAAUGGUAGCUUCACAAAGCUUGGCGGAGCUUAUCAAGAAACAUAGUAGAUCCAGCCAUCCCGCUAAAUUCCUUGUGUAUGACUCAAUGAUGCCAUGGGCACAAGACGUGGCUGAACCACUAGGCCUAGAUGGAGUUCCAUUCUUCACUCAAUCAUGUGCUGUUUCUACCAUCUAUUACCAUUUUAAUCAAGGGAAGUUGAAAACUCCUUUAGAAGGAUAUACGGUAUCAAUUCCUUCAAUGCCACUUUUAUGUAUCAAUGAUCUGCCAUCAUUCAUUAAUGACAAAACUAUACUCGGCUUCCUCUUGAAGCAAUUUUCCAAUUUCCAGAAAGUGAAGUGGAUCUUGUUUAACACUUUUGACAAGUUGGAAGAGGAGGUACUUUCUAUAACCCCCUCUACAUAAUACAAACACAUGCAAUAACCUUCCAUGAUAUAUUUCUAAUUAAAUAAUCGUCUCAUACUGUUAAAUUCUCUGCCUAAAUUCUAUUAGGUGAUGAAGUGGAUGGCAAGCCUGCGACCAAUCAAGACAAUAGGACCUACUGUUCCUUCCAUGUACUUAGACAAGAGGUUGGAGGAAGACAAAGAAUACGGUCUCAGCCUUUUCAAGCAAAAUGUUGACGCCUAUAUUGCAUGGCUGGACUUAAAGGGCAUUGGCUCUGUGGUUUAUGCAUCCUUUGGAAGCAUGGCCUCACUGGGAGAAGAACAGAUGGAGGAAAUAGCAUGGGGCCUGAAAAGGAACAACACCCACUUCAUGUGGGUAGUCAGAGAAUCAGAAGAGAAAAAGCUUCCUUGCAAGUUCUUGGAGGAGACAUGUGAGAAGGGUCUGGUCGUGAGUUGGUGCUCCCAACUAGAAGUUUUAUCUCACAAAGCUGUUGGGUGUUUUAUGAGUCAUUGCGGAUGGAACUCAACUUUGGAGGCACUGAGCUUGGGAGUGCCAAUGAUAGCGAUGCCUCACUUUUCAGAUCAAACAACGAAUGCCAAGUUCAUUGAAGAUGUAUGGGGAGUUGGGGUUAGAGUUAAGCCGGAUGAAAAAGGGCUUGUGAAGAGAGAGGAAAUAGAGAUGUGCAUAAGGGAAAUGAUGCAGGGAGAGAGAGGGAAUGAGAUGAGAAGGAAUGCUGAGAUGUGGAAGGAGUUGGCCAAAGAGGCAGUAACUGAAGGCGGAACCUCCGAUAAGAACAUUGAAGAAUUUGUUGCAGAAAUUUUAUGCAGCUUAGAUUGAAAUCUGUAUGGACACAUCUCAGCUUGUGUUAAUUUUCAAAUAUCUAAGUUGUAAAUAAAAUGCCUAUGGUAAUUUUCAAUGCUUAAUGGCCUCUCUUUAUUAAGUGUGUAAAAAGUUUGAUUCAUUCUAUACUUCCAAG
rnacentral:lncRNA from 1 species